ACAAUCUGAGCCUCUCUUGGUCUGAAGGGGAAAGCUGGGCUUGCUAAGACUACCCUGUGGAUGGCUUCUGUUAACAGUGCUCUGACAUCUCAGGAUGAGAGCCAGCACUCGCUUGGUUUUUUGAGAGCUGAUUUUUCAUCUCUUCCCUGGGGACCCCAGGAGAUGCUUUCCUCCCUACAGGGUAACUGCUAUAUAUGCCCUCUCCCAGUGUGAGCUCCUAGAUCAAGGACUCUCCCAUUUUUAUUACAUCUUCAGCAUUUAGCAGUGCCUGCCACACAAUAAGCAAUUAAUAAAUACUUCCAAAAAAAAAGCUUUACUAAAUGCAUUCAUCAUAGAGCAAGUGACCUAUUACAGACUCAAGUUUUGAGAGUUUUUGAAUCUUAGCUCUGAUGCGGUUUCAUUUUAUGACAAGUCAGUUCAAAACAUUGAACCCAGUUUCCUUUUCUGUAAAUUGGGUGUAAUAAUGCAGGUACUACCUACUUCAAUGAGUUGUUGUGAAGAAAGUCUUGAUCUACUUUGAAGUAUUAUCGAAUGUGGGUGGCUGCUAUUCUUUCUCUCCAGCUGGCUACACAUGGGGCAAGGACAGAGGAACUUGGGAAGAGUAUUUUUCUGGUUGGCUACUCAAGUGUCCCCUCAGUAUGACUUGACCAUCCUCUAAAAGACGCUUGGGGAAGGACACACUUAUUUUUCCCAGUUUUUAAGUAUUGAAAACAGCGACAAUUUUCACAAUUAAAAUAUCCUGAGGGUAAAAGGAACUUGUAGAGGUUACAGGAUGUACAUGUGCUGCUCUUCAUGUGUGUCUAAUGAGGAUGCCGAUGACUCCUUGUUAGUAAGAAACAUUCUGAGAUGUUUCUGAAGCUAUGGGGGAGGGGAGAAAUGGUUAAUAGCGCGUUUAUCCAAUCCACAAGGUGACUAACCAGGUCCAGAAAGCAACCUUAGGCUUUGCAUUAAAUCAGCCUGCCCCAUAAGGAGAUGAAUUGAUUGCAAGGAGUAUAGAGAAUAGAACAAGUUUGAUUGCAAACUUUUAAGUGCUUACUAUGUAUCAUACUCUGAGCUUAGCACUAAGGAAACUAAGAAAAGCUAAAGCUGCUCCCUGCCUCAAGGAACCGUCCUCGAAUAGAGGAGACAAUCAGCAAACAAUUAGGCACAUAUGUGAAAAAUUAUGGCCUGGAGAAUGCGAAGUUAGUGGGGAGGAGGUAGGAACCUGGAAAGUCCUGCAAAAGGUAGGAUUUGAUCUCAGUUUAGAAGGCAGCCUUAGAGAAAGGGAAGGAGGAGAGCUUCCUUCAAGAGUCCCAAGCAGGGAAGGCACCUCUUAGAAGGUCCCUAGGAGAGGUGUCACGUCUGAGGAGCAGCAGAAGACCAAGAAUGCUAGAUCAUUGGGAUGUGAAGGGAAUAAAGUGAAGGAAGAGUGCAGAAGCAGCAAAGUGCCAAGUAGGAUUUUAUAUUUAACUGUGGAGGUGAUCAGGAACCACAGAAGAUCCUUGGGGAUGGAGGCAGGGGCUAAGUGGCUUGUGACAAACAUUCUUGGCCUUUAAGAAAACCCUUUUGGCUGUUACUGCCAAAAGAAUUCAGAUUAUAGAAUAUAAAGAACUACAGUGGAUAAUAAGUCUUAAGGACCACAUGAAAACAAGAUGCUUUCAGGCAUAAAACAUAAUCGAUGCAAAAUCUGUGAAUAAGUGCCAUAAGCUGAUGAGGGAAGAGACCCCUUACUUUUACGACUUUUAACAGGGAGAACAAGCUAGCCUCUUCCUGGCAACCUCUUCUGGCUUUAGAAUACCACCUUCUUUUGUUUCCUGUUAGAAGACAUCAAAAUCGUCCCGAAAAGAAGUCACGGAAUCUUCCCUGCCUGGCAGUGGUUGGUGCUUAAGGAGUUUGGUGAACUUUGCAAAAAAAAAAAAAUAUAUAUAU